UAAUACGGAGGGUGCGAGCGUUGUCCGGAAUCACUGGGCGUAAAGGGCGCGUAGGCGGCCUGAUAAGUAGGGGGUGAAAUCCUGCGGCUUAACCGCAGGGCUGCCUUCUAAACUGUCAGGCUUGAGCACAGUAGAGGCAGACGGAAUUCCGGGUGUAGCGGUGGAAUGCGUAGAGAUCCGGAGGAAGACCGGUGGCGAAGGCGGUCUGCUGGGCAGUUUCUGACACUGAGGCGCGACAGCGUGGGGAGCAAACAGGAUUAGAUACCCUGGUAGUCCACGCCGUAAACGAUGGGUACUAGGUGCCUGGGGGAGCGACCCUCUGGGUGCCGGCGCUAACGCAGGAAGUACCCCGCCUGGGGAGUACGACCGCAAGGUUG
rnacentral:rRNA from 1 species